rnacentral:lncRNA from 1 species
UCCGUGUGAAAAGGUUGCAAAGAGGAUGAAGGAAUAGUGUAAUCAAUCCAACAGCAACACCAACGCUUUCGAGUUUCUUUUUCUUCAAGCUAAGCCAAGCCAACAGAAGGUGUGCGACUGUGCGUGUUUAAUGUUGUUUUAGAUUUGUUCUUCUCUUCUCUUCUCUUCUCUUCUCAAGCAUCAACAUUAAGUUCCACAUACAUGCAACAGCUACUCAGUAUCUUCUUUUUCAAAUAAUAAUGCUUAUGUUUAUGUUUUAAUUAUCAUUUACUCAUAAUAAUAAGAAUAAUAAUAACAUUAAGCUAGCUGGUCCUCUAAUUUUGAGGUCGGGUUGGUAGUUCUGAAUGCGAUGCCAAUUAGAAUUCGAUUUAUCAGGUGCCUUUACUAUCUUCUGUUGCAACUUUUUGAUUAACACUGUAUAGGUCAUUAAUAGUAGCUUAGCCGAUGCUUAUCUAGAAUGAAUGGAAGAACUUUCUGUCUAUUAUUAUUGUUAUUAUUGCCUGGUUAAUUAAUUAUAUGACUACUCUGUAUCUAGUUGUCCCGAAUCUCACCUCAUCCUCCUUGAGAUUGAUUGAGAUUUGAGAACAGCAACAGCAUGCAAGAGAAUCGGUCACGUUGUCUAUCUUUCAAUUCAAAAACAUUUAAUUAUAAUUAGGCAUUUUAAUUUGGCUGUUAUAUGUGUGUUGGAUGUCUUAAGAAGCAAAUAUAAAUUAAGGAUGGAUGAAACACGAAUUUUGGUCUUGGAGGUCUUUAAUCUUUCCCUUCCCAGCUGUAACCAUGUCUUCCUGCAACUACAGGCUCCAUUGCUCAGGCCUUCCAAGCUCAGCUGCUCGGGACCUCUGCAACCGGAGAAUUAUUGAUUCCUGGCCCGGGUGCAAUGGAAAGCUAUACUUCCUGUCGGCAUAGACUUGUUAGAAAGCUACAUUAAUUAUAUUUUUCUUUAAGCAACCUUCGAUCCCAAGAGCUCGACCACAGGUUUGCUAGUCUAAUAAAGUACAUGUCGCCCUCUGUACUCAAGGGUAAUUUCCCGAUCGAGCCUGUUGAAUUACUACCCAUACGUCACGUGGAGAAAAACUUGGUCCCAACUGAUUUUGGACAUUAAUUUGAUUGCCUAGCGCUUGGCACUUGGCAGCAGCCACAAAACGAUUCGGUCUUUAAUUAAUUACCAAAAGUUUCAUUGUCGAGCAUAUAACAAAAACGUACAAGAAACCACAAAAAUCUUUUGUUUUUGGGAUAAAAAAAGUAAUGAGC